rnacentral:tRNA from 1 species
GGUCUAUAGCUCAGUGGAAGAGCAUCUGCCUUGCAAGAAGAAGGUCCCAAGUUCAAUCCCUGUCAUCUCCA